rnacentral:lncRNA from 1 species
UUUUUGGUCUUGGCUUAUAUUUUAUUCAUCCCACCCAGGAAUCCUUUCAUUAGCUAGUAAGCCAUAAAGACACAAUCAAGAAACAUCCCAGCCUCCUCCCUUCGAGCCGUGAGGCCCUGUGUGGAACUUUUUGCAAAUCACUGGUGUAGUUCAACCUCCAUUCAUCAGGUAUCUUAUUAUUGUAAUGCCAGCAGCCCAAAGGCCUGGACCCUCAAAAUGGAUUUUCUUAUGACUAGAUCAGAUGGAACAGGCUGAACUAUGAAAUCGCUAAGUUCUAAGAAAAAGUGAAACACAAACGACAUUUCCAGGAGCUCCAUCCAAAAGUCACUUUACUUCAGUAUCUAGGACAUUUUAAAUCAGUAGCAGAUGCCAGCAAAUAAAAGGGGAGAAAAAAAUACCAACAUACCAAGUAGGAAAGCCCAGCAAUUUUAAUUAAAGAGAUUAAACCUUUGCCGUUCUCUUUAGCAGCUGGACAUAUUAGGAAGGCAUGACCACAUUCUCCUG